rnacentral:misc_RNA from 1 species
AACGCACAUUGCGCCCUUUGGUAUUCCGAGGGGCAUGUCUGUUCGAGCGUCAUUUCAACCCUCAAGCUUUUGCUUGGUAUUGGGCUAUCGCCCUGCCUAAAUUUAGGCGGGGGCGUGCCUAAAAUUCAUAGGCGGUUGUAAUUCAGCUCCCUUGCGUAGUUAUUAUUUCUUUCGCUCUGGAGAAAACUGAGUACGACUCGCCUAAGAAACCUUUUAAUUCUUUUCAAGGUUUGACCUCGGAUCAGAUAGGGAUACCCGCUGAACUUAA